rnacentral:rRNA from 1 species
CCUACGGGUGGCAGCAGUGGGGAAUACUGGACAAUGGGGGGAACCCUGAUCCAGCCAUGCCGCGUGUGUGAAGAAGGCCCUCGGGUUGUAAAGCACUUUCAGUGAGGAAGAACGCCUGGUGGUUAAUACCCAUCAGGAAAGACAUCACUCACAGAAGAAGCACCGGCUAACUCCGUGCCAGCAGCCGCGGUAAUACGGAGGGUGCGAGCGUUAAUCGGAAUUACUGGGCGUAAAGCGCGCGUAGGUGGCUUGAUAAGCCGGUUGUGAAAGCCCCGGGCUCAACCUGGGAACGGCAUCCGGAACUGUCAAGCUAGAGUGCAGGAGAGGAAGGUAGAAUUCCCGGUGUAGCGGUGAAAUGCGUAGAGAUCGGGAGGAAUACCAGUGGCGAAGGCGGCCUUCUGGACUGACACUGACACUGAGGUGCGAAAGCGUGGGUAGCAAACAGGAUUAGAUACCCUGGUAGUC